rnacentral:rRNA from 1 species
GUGUCUCUAUCAGAGUUUGAUCCUGGCUCAGGACGAACGCUGGCGGCGUGCUUAACACAUGCAAGUCGAACGAAGGGAAGUGGGAGCUUGCUCCUAUGGAACUUAGUGGCGAACGGGUGAGUAACGCGUAAUCAACCUGCCCUUCAGAGGGGGACAACAGAUGGAAACGUCUGCUAAUACCGCAUACGUUCUUGUUAUCGCAUGAUGAUGAGAAGAAAGGUGGCCUCUUGAAAAAGCUACCACUGAAGGAGGGGAUUGCGUCUGAUUAGCUAGUUGGAGGGGUAACGGCCCACCAAGGCGAUGAUCAGUAGCCGGUCUGAGAGGAUGAACGGCCACAAGGGGACUGAGACACGGCCCUU